rnacentral:rRNA from 1 species
GACGAACGCUGGCGGCGUGCUUAACACAUGCAAGUCGAACGGAAAGGCCCUGCUUUUGUGGGGUGCUCGAGUGGCGAACGGGUGAGUAACACGUGAGUAACCUGCCCUUGACUUUGGGAUAACUUCAGGAAACUGGGGCUAAUACCGGAUAGGAGCUCCUGCUGCAUGGUGGGGGUUGGAAAGUUUCGGCGGUUGGGGAUGGACUCGCGGCUUAUCAGCUUGUUGGUGGGGUAGUGGCUUACCAAGGCUUUGACGGGUAGCCGGCCUGCGGGGGUGGCCGGCCACAUUGGCACUGAGAUACGGCCCAGACUCCUACUGGAGGCAGCAGUGAGGAAUAUUGCACAAUGGGCGGAGGCCGGAUGCAGCGACGCCGCGUCAGGGAUGACUGCCUUCGCGUUGUAAACCGCUUUCGCCUGUGACGAAGCGUGAGUGACGGUAAUGGGUAAAGAAGCACCGGCUAACUACGUG